CUUCAAGGGGAUUCCCUCUGCUCCACUUGCUCAGGGAAUCCUCACAGGCAUUACUCACUAGGAUGCAUAAACACAGAAUGCUGUGUGUUUUCAUCUUGACCACAGGAGUUUGUCACCAUGGAGAUCCUCCUGUUUCCUUCAAGAGUGAUUCAAAUCUUACAGAUGGAGCAUAUGUGACAGCAAAAAACCAAAAUCACCAAGAAUUCACAUUAAACAUUUCAGAAAGAGGAUUUGAACACUAACAAACAUCCACAGACUAUUCAUGCAUAAAAAAUUGUGCUUCAAAUUCUUUUCUUUCUAAUGUUAA
rnacentral:lncRNA from 1 species